GUUCGUCAUACCAUCCUCAAGCUAUCGACGUCAAGACGUCAAGACGUCAAGACGUCAAGACACGCUUCGGGAUUGGCUUGAACGACAGUUAGAAGGAAUCCUAAUGUGUUUAGGAUUUGGUGUGGUUCACGAAGACAUUGGCCGAUUGAUAAGAAAGCUGCUACCUUCACUCGUAUAUAUCGAUACGUGCACGUUGCUACGUUCAGUCUACUGUAGUUUCGAUUGUUUACAUGCGAGGUCGUUGCCCUGUGAACGCCUUUUACUUUACAUUUUGACUCUGGGGGUCGAUUGUGUACUUAAUGGCCAAUUUCUUCACCUUCGGAUAAAAUUAAUCUUGCGGAUAAAUACCCAGCUAAUCAAUCGUUUUCGUGUCUUAGGAGUUUAUCCGUAGGAUAGGUUUUAUCCGGAGGUGAAGAAAUUAGCGAUAACUCGUAGUAAGAAUACGAAAAGUGAAUAGCUGUUAGCCAAUCGCGUGUUAGGGUCGGAAGAAGAUAAGCACAACGAUUGGCUAACAGAACAGAACAGCCAUUCACUUUUAGCAUUUUCAGUACAUUUGAGUUACACAAUCGACCCCCUGCUCUGAGUACGAGGAGGAGUCGAGUAGGUGUCACCACCAAACGAUUAGUACAGAACAAAAUUUAGAAGAGGAAAUGAAGUGUCAAAGGAAACCAUAGGUACUAAACGAUUCCCGCACGUACUAAGAGAAUCCUAGCAAAUUCACGUACCACGGCCAAUUUAAUCAUAAAGCUUCUUACAGUUUUCAAUUCAACGAUAUCGCCGCUACUGAAAACUGUUAGAUUCCCCGUUGUCGUCGAUUAGAAAUCCGCCAAUAUCCACGAGCAAACGUACAGCGCCAUAACCUCAACUAUCGUAAACAGCAAGUGAGGAUUCAGCGAAGUGAACGUGGAACGUUAUCAAAGACUUUGUAGCUGAACUUCCAUAUCAAAUGGAUGAAGUGGGUGAAAUGGAUAAGGAAGAGAAUCUAGGUCGUAGUGGAUACGAAUGAAAAGGUUGUUCUGUCGCAACAAAGUGUACCUCCUUAAACGAUUGACAUUGUACGCAGAAUCAGCCCACGUCGAUACGCCCUCGAAUCUCCGACGAAGCAUUCGAUCAUUUGUCAUUAGAUUACACCUACUACACAGUCUCUCUAUAUAAAAUAUAUGUAAACUGGAAGUGAUACCGAUGAACACGUUGACGUAGACGAUAUCAACCGAAUCAACUGACAGCGAGCGAGUAGCGGCCGACUAGCGGGAUUUUCGCGCCACAGGAUCGAAUAUACAUAGUAGGGAACGUCGCUGUUAUCGAAGCGAUGCUCAAGUCACUCCGCAAUUAAGUUCGUCCUUGAGGAUUUUGACUGUCAGAAAUGAAAGAUAAGAGGAAACGAUCAUCUACGUCCUACUUCAGGUUGAGAGUACUAGAAGUAGAAGGAGUGUAUGUAAGACUAUAAGAAAAGGUCUGCAGAUAAUACUUAUCUAUUAUAGUAGUAAGGUCAUGAAAUCAUAACGUUAUCGACAGAACAGUAUCUCCUCUGUUACGACUGUUCCGAUUUCCUUAUCAGCUUCCGCAUUGACAAUGAUAUACAAGGUGAUGCACGUGCUUCGGCAGAAUAUCCAUUUCUAGUACAGAAAUCAAUCGAACCGUUGAUCUAAUAAAUUUACCAUUUUCUCUUCUUUCUCUUCUUCUUCUUCUUUCUCUUCUUUCUCUUGUUCAGUGAAUUUUGUCCUCAGUCGAACCGACGCCCGCACUUAGUUGCUUGGGCGCUUACGUACGCCCACAACGUGCAUCAAGCGUUAUGUGUAGUCGUUGGUUGCGAGGUGAAGGACCGAGGAGCACGUAUCGGAGAAACGGAUGGACGGAUGGACGGAUGGACGGACGGAUCGAGGAACGAACGAAUGGGCGAGCGAACCGGUGGGUUCUUGGGUUGGUGACCCGUUACCAUCACUGACCACUGCCAACGGGUCGACAACCUCCGCCUUGUCGCAGCCCAAAUUUUCGACGAUCUCUCAGCCGACAUACGUCACGAGGACGUCUAUGAGUCUGGAGAAGAAUUGAUCCAGAAUUGGCAAUAAAUGAGUGACCGGCUGUCGGUGUUCCAGGGUGGCCGACGACGACGACGAUAGUAGGAAAUUUUAGCGUGUAAAAAUUGCUCAGCUCGGCCAUUUCGCAGGCGCGUGGUAUAAGCUCCUUCGUUUUUUAUCGUUUACACUGUUUCACCACCCAUGUUAUUUUUGCGAAUAAUAGGUCAGGUUAUGUAACGCUUAAUCCGCAUUAUCGAGUCAAUAGUGGCAGACUACUGGUACGACGAAGCUUCCCGCCACCGCUUUAAGGCUGAGCUGGCACUUUUGUGAAAUCACUUAGCGACGACGACGACGACGAUGAUGUUGCCCAAAUUGCAUUAAACGCAUUCUUUGAUCGAGUCGAUCGAGUCGAUCGAAAAAGUGGAUGCUCACCAGAAGUCAUCGGUUACGAGGAAUUGGCUGCAUUCUUUGGACAGUGGAAUUUGCAAUGAGUUAUUGGCCACUGCCAGCGGUACUGGCUGCUUGCGACAUGACGAGCGUCGAGCACGGGGCACGUAGUGGCGGGUUUGUACAGCUCUUUGGCUGUCACGAUGGCAGUGACGUUUGGGCCUUUAGAAUAUAAGUAAGAAAUAUAUAUAUAGUAUAAAAAGUGGCAAUGAAGGAAGUAGGGAACGAAGGUACGCGAGAACGGUUCGUUUCGGGCUGCCACGAGCGGGCAUUGUGCGAUAUUUAGGUAAAAUAACGGGCCCCGCGCAACGAACCCCACUGUCAAACCUGUCACUAAAAUGUCACGACCCGUUCUCUUUCUCCCUUCCUCUCUCUCUCUCUCUCUCUCUCUCUCUCUCUCUCUCUGACUUCUUUUGUUUGCAGAUAGACAUCAAGCCAGACGACAGUGUGGAGUCCCCUUGUCGUUCCAGUCCGUUAGAAGCAUCAGUCGAAGGUGUCUUGGUCCUGUCGAUGAUCCACAGGAUCAAGUACGAAGAAGAAGAAGGAGAACCCUGGAUACGCGAUAAGGAAGCCGAUCGACUUGGCAAUCGUCCUCAGAAGUGACAUUGGGUGAAUGACCUGCAAAGUGGGGGAAGCGAAUUUAAGCCAAUUUCAGGCCGUUGACACCGGCCCCAGGAGAAGAGGAGUAAGAACGACGAGGAUCAACAGUGUCAAGAGUGCGUUGACAAUUUGGCAAAUUGCAGGGACGAAGAGAGGAGGACGAAAAGGAGGGAGAGGUGGAAGAGGACAGCUCGAGGAAAAUAAUCGAAUUUCGCGAGGUCAACGAACCAACGCCGUGGAUCUGUUCGAUCGAUCGGUUAAUUUAUCGCUAAACGACCAAGUCGGUUCAACGACCUCCUGGAGCCGACCGCAAGACGAAUUGCCGGACCGUAGGUGACGGCGACGAAAAUUAAUGCCCUCGCGUCGACGCUGACGCAAGGCGGAGACCCAUAAGAGAGCAACGGAUAGCAGGACGAGGAGAGACGUGCUCAGUUACGUCACAAGCGAUUCCAGCACCUCGUCCCUCUUCCACCUGUGCUCAGUUCUCUCAGUUCUCUCAGUUCUCUCAGUUCUCUGCAUUGCAAAACCCAUAACGAACAAGAGCGCACCUACCGUCUGUCCACUACGCAGUACAUUUGCCUUUUAACGGUAACGUUUAGCUUCUGGCGCAUGACAGAUUACUCCCGAUUACUCCCGAUUACUCCUGGUCCCACCCGAUUACCCGCUGACAGCCGCGACUACGCGUCAGGAUCCCAAGGGGAUUGAGUACCAGCAACCGUGGAGCUGGUACCAGAGCCAGUGUCCUGGGGAACGGCGGAGAGCGCACGAAAGCCGAGGGCGUAGCCAGGGUGCGUAACUCCGGAUCGGCGCAAGAACGUGCGUACGAAGUGUCGCCUGUGCGUGCUCGAGGGAAAGGCGCGUGCAUCCGAGAGACGGGGGCAAUGCACCUGUGCCAAUAACAACAACAACGAUGACGACCACGAUCGCCGGGAGACGAGGAGUCAAGAAUCAGAGAGCGUCAGCGUCUCUAGAGCCGUUCACUUGUAUUCGUUGUAUUCGUUGUAUUCAUUGAGAAGACUCGCGGCACGCGUGGCUUAGCAUUCGAUGCAGCAGCCAUGUGUAAUGCAUAUGCAUAUGCGCCCUUACGAUGUCGUACGCUGACACAAUCCACCUGGAAUUCAUUUGCAGGAGCGCGGGGCUCUCUUUCGACGUCACGGCUUGGAAUAACCUGGAGCAAGAACUCCUAGCGUGCUU